UUCUUAACAGGAAAAAAAAAAUCCUAGCCCUGCUCAAGAAACACUAAUGAAGACAAGGAAAAUGUUGGAGCUAUUUUAAAUGAUGAAGAAACUGAGACUCAGGGAAGAGAUGUAUCCCAUCAAUGCCGGUAAACGGCAGGCCCAACACUGAAUCUCGUUAAAUCCAACUGUUUCCACCUCCUCCAUAUUGUCUUCUAAAAAGAGAAGAACUGGCAGGAGAAAUGCCACACGGUCCCAGUGGCCUAUAUGCAUAUGAAACUCUGAAAGAAUGGACCUUCCUCUCAGAUGGAUGGAACUAGAAUUUCAAGAGGGUGAGGGAGAGCCCCUGCUGUUGUCUCUCUCUAUCCUCCCACUGCUUGGUUCUGGAUAUGGGAUAUGCAGGAAUUACAUGGCAGAAUGGGCAAAUAAAGUCCAGCUUUCUACCAGAAGAUUAAAAAAAGGAAUCUCAGAGAAUUGGAAUGUAUCACGGAGAUAGCAGAGAGGGAAAAGUUCAGGAAAGUAAACUCAUAAAAGUAUUUCUGAACUCCUAGUCUUAUGACCUGUACAAAUACAGGUUGACCUCAACCAGCAUCCUAUAAACUUUGAGAAUUGAACUAUAGGACAGAUUAUUGGCCAGGUCUCAGAAUGGCCACUGGAUGGUGCAAACCUGGGUCUGAUCUGAAUACCACUACAAAGCUUUGAAAAUGGAAUAGACAUUGAAACUACAGAAGGCUGUUUGAAACUUGUGGCGUCAAUCCAAACAUGCUGUUCAUCCAGUAAAACAAAAACUUCAAAAUUCUUCAUAGAUUUGAAUAAGACCCAGCAUCUUAAAACAUAAUCCAAAAUGUCCAUGAUAAAAUAAAAAAUUACUCAGCAAAUGAAGAACCAGUAAAAUCUCAAAUUGCAUGGAAAAGGCAGUUAACAAAUGCCAAUGCUGAGAUGAUAUAGAUGUUGAAAUUAUCUGACAAAGACUUUACAACAGCUAUUAUAAACACGCUCCAAGAAGUAAGAGUAAAUAUUUUUGAAAUGAGUGGAAAGAUAGAA
rnacentral:lncRNA from 1 species